UACCAGCUCUCCGAGUGGUAGGGAUGAUUAUUGGGCUUAAAGCGUCCGUAGCCGGCUUAGCAAGUCUCCUGUUAAAUUCGGCGACCUAAUCGUUGAGCCGCGGGAGAUACUACUAGGCUAGGAGGCGGGAGAGGUCGACGGUACUUCUGGAGUAGGGGUGAAAUCCUAUAAUCCCGGGAGGACCACCAGUGGCGAAGGCUGUCGACUAGAACGCGCUCGACGGUGAGGGACGAAAGCUGGGGGAGCGAACCGGAUUAGAUACCCGGGUAGUCCCAGCCGUAAACGAUGCGGGCUAGGUGUUGGGGUGGCUACGAGCCACUUCAGUGCCGCAGGGAAGCCAUUAAGCCCGUCGCCUGGGGAGUACGGCCGCAAGGCUGAAACUUAAAGGAAUUGGCGGGGGAGCACCACAAGGCGUGAAGCUUGCGGUUC
rnacentral:rRNA from 1 species